rnacentral:lncRNA from 1 species
CCGGAUACGUCCUGGGUAACUCUGGGGCACCGCGGGGGCGAAGAAGCCCGUUCCAGGCGGCUUCCGAUUGGCCCGCGCAGCCCAGCGCGUUACUACCCCGUCCCCCGCCGGGGAGUCCCGCGGCGGGGGACGCUCGGGGACGACUCUGCGCGCCUCUCCGGGCCAAUGGCGGCCGCCCGCGGCGCGCGGGGUUCUGGGAGUUGUAGUCCGCGCGGCGGCGGCUCGGCUCGCUCGGAAGCCGAGGCGCCGCCAUGACGGAGCGGCCCUGGCCGGAGCGGAGCCCGCGCGCGCCGGGGCGGAGAGCCCCUCCACCCGCGUUUGUCCACUCCGGACCCCACUCGGCCCGGCCCAAGCCCUCCCAACCCCCACCAGCCAGCCGCCCAGAAGCUGACACUGUCAGCGGCAGAUCUCGGUGCCCACCGCAGACUCCAUCCCAGGACCCUGGAGGGUGCUGAGGGGCUGCGGUUCUUCGCCCUGGAGAAUCUGCCCGGGGCGCACUUCCCUGCCACCGGAGAGAAGGGGGUGACGGAGGUUGUAAACGCGCAGUCAGGCUGCGGCGGCGGCAAGAAGCAGGCUCGAAGACGGCUGGCAGGGCACAGCCCUCGCCCCCGACUGCUGACUGCAUCCGCCUGCUGCCACCUGGGUUUGUCUGGAGCUGCUGGGACUGUCCUGGGAUCCAGCCUGCU